ensembl:lncRNA
CUUACAGAUAGACUGAAACAGCCAACACACUUGAUUGACCUCACUCAGCGUAAUACUGUUAAACCAUCUGGGAUCAUCGCAGUCACACAACUCACCCACUUGGAUGGAUUUCAAGGGAAUCCAAUUCUUUCAGAAAACAAGGCUGGAAAGUUCACAGAAUAUAUGUUUAAAAAGUGUAUUGAAUCUGGAAUUCUCCAAAUAGGAUUUCUGAACAGCCUGGAUAAUUGGGAAAUCUUACCAGGUUUUUGCAACCUUAGACCUGAGGUUCUGUUACACGCUGUGAGGAUCAAUGGAAUACUCCCAAGGCUUGUCUGAAACUACAA